rnacentral:misc_RNA from 1 species
CUACACAUAGUGUUUCUCUGC